GAAAAUCAAAUUCAACAAACAUUCCACUAAGAAAUCAAUGGUGUAAAAUCACCAACACUUCCCACUUAUAAAUGGAUGGUGUAAAACAUUUAUGUGGAGACCACCAUCACUAAACAUCUCUAUAUUUCUUCUCUAUAUAUACCAUCAAAUUCAUUGUAAAAUGUACACCAACAAAAGGAUCACAACAAAAUCAAUGCAAAAUCUCUCUCUAUUUUCUACUUCUCUCUUAUAUUGAUACUUCUUUAUUAAGUUAUAAAAUCAUUCGAAAUACGUUUUCACAACACGUUAUCAGCACGAGUAAGCUCUCGUUUCUAAAAACAUCUGAAUCUCUACACGAUUAAAUAUUUAAGGUAUAGUGAAGCACGAGUAAGCUCUCGUUUCUAAAAACAUCCGAAUCUCUACACGAUUAAAUAUUUAAGUUAUCAUGUCAAAUUUGGCAAAACUCGAGAUCACUGCCCUUGAUAUCUCUGGGAAUAAUUAUAUGAGAUGGGCCGUUGCAGCAAAGAGGCAUUUAAAAGGAAAAAGGCUCCUUGACACCAUCGAUAAAUCAAAAUCAUCCCCUGAAGAGGAUAAGGCAAAUGCCAUGAUAUUUUUAACCCACCAUAUCAAUGAUGGUUUAAAAGAUGAAUACAUCACAAAGGAAGAUCCUGCAGAUCUUUGGCAAGCACUCGGAGAUAGGUUUGAUCACCAAAAAUAUGUGAUCUUACCAAAAGCGAAACACGAGUGGCUGAACCUCCGUUUUCAGGAUUUCAAAAGUGUUGCCGAAUAUAAUUCCGCUUUGUUCGGAAUUACUUCCAGGAUAAUGUUAUGUGGAGAAAAUAUAAGUGAUUAUGAUAUGAUUGAGAAAACUCUCCAAACAUUCCAUCCUGGAAAUGUACUUCUGCAACAACAAUACCGAGCAAAAGGAUACACGAAGUAUUCUGAACUAAUGCAAGUUCUGUUGGUUGCAUAACAAAAUAAUGAAAUUGUGAUGUUGAACCAUCAAUCUCGUCCGACUGGAUCAGCUCCAUUCCCGGAAGUGAAUGUUGCAGCAUCUAAUUAUAAUAAUUACGGACGUAAACGCGCUCGAAGUAAUGAUCGUGGUCGUGGACGAGGUGGAUAUGGGCGUGGACGUGGACACGGAAGAAAAUUCGGUCCUAAUGAUUCCACUAAAAACAACAAUAAAAGAUUCAAAAGGAACGAAGAUGGUCGCGCGAUUAAGCAACAUGAAAAUGCUUGUUACAGAUGCGGCAUGAAAGGACAUUGGUCCAGUACCUGUCGUACGCCGAAACAUUUGGCCGAUCUGUACCAAAAAUCACAAAAAGAAAAAGAAGCCAACUUCGUUUAUGGUGAACCAGGGCCUUCUUUCGAUGGUUUAAUCGAUGAUACAUAUCUCGACAUUGCCGAUUUCAUAGUUGAUCCUGAAGCCAUCAACGAGAAACAAAAUGAAUAAAACUUCCCGAAGAAGUUUGUGUGACAUGAUAGUUAUGUUUAUCUUCCUGAAGAAGAAAAUAAAAGCUUAAUGUUUGUUUUUGUGUGUUUUGUAUUAUAUCUCUAUUGUAAAAUAGUUUUAUUGUAAUAUAAAUCGUUUGUUAUGAUAUAUUAACAUAUUUUUAUAAAUAUUUAUAAAUUCAGAAAAUGUCCAAAUUUGAGAUGAAGGAUGGAGAUAUAUGUCUGGCAGACAGUGCUACAACGCACACAAUCCUUAAAGAUAAAAAGUAUUUCUCCUCCCUAAAAAUACAAAAUUCCGCCGGAAGCGUUAAUACUAUAUCUGGUAAUGCAAAAAUUAUUAUGGGCUCCGGAAGAGCCAGUUUUUCAAUGCCGAGGGGAACAAAAAUUGAAAUAAAUAAUGCAUUAUAUUCUCCUAAAUCAUUUAGAAAUUUGUUAAGUUUCAGAGAUAUCCGCAGAAAUGGAUAUCACAUAGAAACUCUAAAUGAAAAUGGCAUUGAAUAUCUUUGCAUUACAUCAAUUAUUACGGAGAAGAAAUGUGUAUUAGAAAAGCUAGCAGCUUUAUCCUCCGGAAUAUACUCCACAAAAAUAAAUAUGAUUGAAUCAUAUAUUACUGUAAACCAGAAGUUUACAAAUACGUUCAAAAUCUGGCAUGAACGUUUAGGGCAUCCAGGUUCAGUCAUGAUGCGUAAAAUUGUGGAAAAUUCAAAUGGCCAUCCAUUGAAAAACCAGAAAAUUUUUCAAUCAAAAGAAUUUUCAUGUAAUGCUUGUUCUCAAGGAAAGUUAAUAACUCGGCCAUCACCAGCGAAAAUUGGGAAUGAAUCUCCAGCAUUCUUAGAAAGAAUACAUGGUGAUAUAUGUGGGCCUAUUCACCCACAGUGCGGGCCAUUUCGAUAUUUUAUGGUAUUAAUUGGCGCAUCCAGUAGAUGGUCACAUGUGUGUUUAUUAAGCACACGAAAUUUGGCUUUCGCGAAAUUCAUUACCCAAAUAAUCAGGUUGAGAGCACAAUUCCCUGAUUAUACAAUAAAUAAAGUAAGACUUGAUAAUGCUGGUGAGUUUACUUCACAAGUUUUCAAUGAUUAUUGCAUGUCAUUAGGAAUUGAUGUUGAACAUCCGGUCCCUCAUGUUCAUACACAAAAUGGCAUGGCUGAGUCCUUGAUUAAACGGCUACAACUUAUUGCUAGACCGUUAAUAAUGAGAACAAGGCUCCCAAUUUCGGUAUGGGGUCAUGCAAUCUUGCAUGCUGCUGCACUAAUUCAAAUACGGCCAAGUGCAUAUCAUAAAUACUCCCCAUUACAAUUAGGUUCUGGCCAGAAGCCAGAUAUAUCCCAUCUCCGCGUUUUUUGAUGUGCGGUUUAUGUACCUAUAGCUCCACCACAAAGAACAAAAAUGGGACCACAAAGGAGAUUGGGAAUAUAUGUCGGGUUUACAUCACCAAGUAUAAUUCGGUAUCUUGAACCGCAAACUGGUGAUAUGUUUACGGCACGUUUUGCUGAUUGCCAUUUUAAUGAGGGAGAAUUCCCAGCAUUAGGGGGAGGAAUUAAAGAAAUUCCAAAAGAUAUUACAUGGUGCACACCUUCUUUAUUGCACCUUGAUCCCCCUACGAAACAACGUGAACUGGAAGUUCAGAAAAUUGUACAUUUACAAAAUUUGGCAAAUCAACUACCAGAUGCAUUCACUAAUACAAGAAGGGUGACAAAAUCUUAUAUACCCGCUGCGAAUGUUCCAUCUAGAAUUGAUGUUCCCGAAGAACAAACUGAUGGAAAAAUAAAUGAACCUAAAGUUCAGUUGAAAAGGGGGAGACCAAUGGGCUCAAAAGAUAAAAAUCCCCGGAAGAAAAAGAAAUUGGGAGAAGUAAAUGAGAAGAUUCAUGAAGAGUUGGAUACAGAGAAAAGUCCUGAAGACGGAAAAAGUCCUGAAGACGAAAAUAAUAAAGAAAACUAUGAGAUUUCCAUCAACUAUACCCAAAAUAGAAAAAUAUGGGUUAGAAAUGAGAUAGAUGAUGAUGAUGGAAUUUUCUCAUUCUAUGUAUCU